AUGCACAGAAACUUUUCAACUGGACCUAAUUUGCUUCGUCAGGUUCAAAAGGAGAGACGUGGUUUAUGUCAUGGGUCUGGGUGCAGUCACUGACGUAGCACCAGAUGUUAAGUGCGUUGAUUGUGUGUGUGUGUGUGUGUGUGUGUGUGUG